UACAGAGGUGCCGAGCGUUAGGCGGAAUCACUGGGCUUAAAGCGUGUGUAGGCGGAUGCCUAAGUACCUUGUGAAAUCCCACAGCUCAACCGUGGAACUGCUUGGUAUACUGGGUGUCUUGAGCCAUCUAGGGGCUACCGGAACAAAUGGUGGAGCGGUGAAAUGCGUAGAUAUCAUUUGGAACGCCAAUGGUGAAAACAGGUAGCUGGGGAUGUGCUGACGCUGAGACACGAAAGCCAGGGGAGCAAACGGG
rnacentral:rRNA from 1 species